rnacentral:misc_RNA from 1 species
GUCAGAUGUGUAUAAGGGACAGGUGAAUCAUCGAAUCUUUGAACGCACAUUGCGCCCCUUGGUAUUCCGGGGGGCAUGCCUGUUCGAGCGUCAUUACAACCCUCAAGCUAUGCUUGGUCUUGGGCCUUGCCGGCAACGGCUGGCCCUAAAAUCAGUGGCGGUGCCAUCGUGCUCUCAGCGUAGUAAUUCUUCUCGCUGUUGGGUCCCGGUGGACGCUUGCCAGCAACCCCCAAUUUUUUAUGGUUGACCUCGGAUCAGGUAGGGAUACCCGCUGAACUUAAGCAUAUCAAUAAGCGGAGG